rnacentral:lncRNA from 1 species
AAAAUCUACUCUCUUAGCAACUUUCAAGUAUAGAAUAGUCCUGUUAACUACAGUCACCAUGCCGUACAUUACAUCCCCAGAACUUGUUCAUCUGAAGUGCUGAGUAAACAAGACGGAGACUCUGGCGGUGAGUAAGAGAGAGAGGCCAGUGCAGCAGUUCUCCAAUUUUCAUUCCCAAGGAUCAUUUGAAAGUCUGUUGGUGUGCAGUUAGCAAAGGAUGAGGGGCACUUUUUUGGCCUGGGAGGAAGAGAUUGUCAAGAUAGCUUACUAGGUAGAUCAAAAGCAAAUGCAGGAGCAGUGUAGAGCAUGAUUUGGUUGUUUCACUUUUGUUUUUGAAAGUAAAUUACCCAAAUAUAUAUUUGUGUGUGUGUGUGUGUGUGUGUGUGUGUGUGUGUGUACACACACACACAUACAACUUUUUUCUUUCCUGGAAGGAACCCGAGAAGUAGGGUAUGAACUUUGGGAGAUGAAAGGUAGAGAGGGGUCUUUCAUGUUUCAUUAUUUUAUACCUUUGGGUGCCAUUAGAAUUUUUAACCAUUUUUUUUUCUUUCUCUUUUGGGAGAUUCUUAGAGGCCAGCUGCCCUGGCUACAUGCCUUUCCUUGUCCUACUGACCAGUCAUUCAACUCAGGAUGCUGAAGACUUGGGAGGAAGGAUGAGGAACUCCUUCUCCAGGAUGUUAAGCAAUGCGGGAAAUAAAAUGACAGCAGGAGGCAGUUUGGGUUGGAGAUCAUUAGUUUGGCCAUGGCUGGAGGUGAGGGAAAAGAACGUUGAUUCCUGCUUCCUGAGCACUGUUCCACCCCCAGGCUUUUGAGGGCCAGGCAGAGGGCAGAGUGGAGGGGAUCGUUUUGGAGUUUUCGCCUGGCCAGAGGAAAGGAAAUGAAGGCACUCAGCAAGGAGCUGGCAAGGACCUUCCGCCAUCCUUGCACCUUCUCUCCCAACAUCUUUGGCCCCAUCUGAGCUCCAGUUUCCACUUGAGAAAACGGCCGGCGGCUGGAUGGGUGCGUGUUCAGACACAUUCCACGAUGCCUCUUGCAAACUCUUCUCUGUCUGUUCAGUCAGGCCCACACCUGGGACCAAGUUUGUGUUAUUGGAUAUAUAGCCUGAGAGUAAUAAAACCACAUUCUAAACAUUCUAUAUAACCCA